rnacentral:rRNA from 1 species
UAGCAGUAGGGAAUCUUCCACAAUGGACGAAAGUCUGAUGGAGCAAUGCCGCGUGAGUGAAGAAGGUUUUCGGAUCGUAAAACUCUGUUGUUGAAGAAGAACAUAUGUGAGAGUAACUGUUCACGUACUGACGGUAUUCAACCAGAAAGCCACGGCUAACUACGUGCCAGCAGCCGCGGUAAUACGUAGGUGGCAAGCGUUGUCCUGAUUUAUUGGGCGUAAAGAGAAUGUAGGCGGUUCAUUAAGUUUGAAGUGAAAGCCCUCGGCUCAACCGAGGAAGUGCUUCGAAAACUGGUGAACUUGAGUGCAGAAGAGGAAAGUGGAACUCCAUGUGUAGCGGUGGAAU